CAGCUUUUGUGAUUUAGCAAUU
rnacentral:miRNA from 12 species